UGUGGGAGCGAGCUUGCUCGCGAUAGCGGUGGAUCAGCUUGCAUUGAUGUUGAAUGUGCCGCCAUCGCGAGCAAGCUCGCUCCCACA
rnacentral:antisense_RNA from 1 species